CGGGAUAUAGCGCAGCUUGGUAGCGCGCGUCGUUCGGGACGACGAGGUCGCAGGUUCAAAUCCUGUUAUCCCGACCA
rnacentral:tRNA from 4 species